AGAGCCAUACACAGUGACACAUAGGUCCCCCUUCUGCAUGAAUUAAACUGAUUUGGCACGUUGAUGUGUGGGUUAUUUGAGUUCUCCUUUGCAGUACAGAUGUACCUGUGAUGAACUUCAUUACAAGCAUACUGCCCUGUCAUCUAGCUACCAAAUGCCAAGAUGCGUCCAAGAGAUUGAAGCCAAAGGCAAAUAUUAUAAAGAGGAACCCAGCCAGGAAAUCUUGCCACCAGCCGCUACUUUGAGAAGGAGCCAGCAGCUGCUCCUCAGAGGACUCCGUCCAGAUGCUUGCUGGGAGAAGGACACAAGAAAGAGAUCCAGUUUCAGAUGCGGUCUUUGUUCAGCUUUCUCAGUUUGGUUUCCUAAAGGGCCAUUUUGGCGGAUGCUGAAGUUGUGCUCAGCACCUCAGAAUACCGCGACUGGAUUACAGAGGGCAUGUUUCUCACAGUUUUCUGUCCAUUUCUAGCAGGACAAAGGCAAUUUCUAUGCAGUGUUACCAGAUGGGGUGAUUUAAAGACUUUUCACUAGUCCUUUGGCCGUAAAAUACCUGAUGUCCCCAGUUUGUGCCAGAAACUUGAGUCUGCCCCUGCUGCAGUUUCUGCAUUGAUCUGCAGACCUUGUCCCAUGGGUCCAGGUUGGGACAAGCUGCUGGAGGAUUAAAAACUUGUCCUGCUCAGCCAGGCACUGUUCCCCGGAUACUUUGGACACUGCUUCAGGAGGAAAGGACAAACUGCCACGGCUGUGAGCCCACGUUAAAGACAAGAGAAAAUGUUGAUCAACCAAGAUGAUGAACACAAGAUCCAAGGUAUUUCUGCCUCCCAGGAGAAGCCCUGUUUCCUUUGGCAGGGAAGGCAGCACCUGCUCUUACAGACUGUCCUUGUGAAAGCAGCGAGCAUGAUCUACUGCCACUGUAUUGGGCAAUAUAAAGAAUGAAUGGGAUCAG